UCAUUCACCGCCGUGGCACCAAACUGGACCAGAGAGUGAGACAGCUCCAGGGGAGGGUGGACUCCAACUGCUUUGCAAGACAACUUGAAAUCUCUGAAUCGAAAAAUGGAUUUAGUGUAAAUAAAUCAUCCAGCACUGAAUAUGAUGUCAAUCUCGACAGUCUCCAUGGGAAGAAGGAUGCCAAAGCCAUCAUUGGGCUGAACAUCUACAUACUGAAAAUGAAAACAGAUCAGAAGCUGUGACAACAGCGUGGACUGCAAACAGAAGUGGCCGGGUCUGUGGAGAGUCAAUGUCAGCUUAUCCAGACAAACAGAACAGCAAGGCCAACACUACAGAGGCUACACAUGCUAUCCAUUGGCAUGCUGUUUGGACCCAUCCUUUGCCCUUUCACCCUGAAUGGUCCUGUACUGUUGUUUCAUAUUGAGAUUUUUUUUUUAUCAUUAUCUCCAUUGCUCAAUUUAUAUAUAAAUAAAGAUUUAUGUAGCUACAUUUCUUUUAAAGCACAUCUUUUGCUUCCCACAUUUCAAGAAACAGCGGGUGAUUUAAAUGUCUAUUUCUUCUAAUGCAAAAAUGAUUAGAAAUGAUCCUGGCUCAUUGCCUUCCUUGGACACUGUUUCUUCAUUAAAACUGGGGCUGACAGUGUGAACAUGUAAAAGCAGUAUAACACUUGGAAUCUGUAAAGCUUUGAUCAGUCCUUCAAAGAGCAAGCAGUGGGGUUUCCGAAAAAAUAGUGUUCUACGUCCCACGUGCUGCUACAAUUGUUUAAAUAGCUUCCCUGUAGUAAACAGUGAUAGCAACACGUGGGAACUUAUGAUGCUAUAUUUUUCAGAGCCCCUCUACUUACUCUUUAACCCUUAACUGUCAGAACUAUCAUAACUAUCAUAAUAUGCAUGCAAUAGUUUAGAAAUCUUUCAAAAGAUUCAUGGGUUAAGAUAGCAAGAUAUUUUAUGCUAACUAGCCAGUGACUCUUAUUACGGUACUCUGGGCAGAUUGAAUAGGAAAACAUGCGGGUACAAGAACACAGCAAAAUAAAACUGCAGCAAGCCAGCUUACAUUUUAGCAAGACUAUAAAAUAUGCAUUCGCAGCACAUGCAGAACAGCACUGGAAUUACACAAAUGAUUAGCACUUAUGGCAGGAUGCUAAUGCGCUGCUUGUGAAUAGCUGGCUGAGACAAGCCGAGCAUUACUGAUCACUUUGACUUCAAAGACUUUGCUGUAUGCAGUUAUAAGACUUGUCUGGAAUCAAAUUCAUUUUCAGCUAUCUUUAAACAUGCGACUCACAGACAGAAGAGUUCUGAUGCAACAGAAACUCAAACCCACUGACUGUGUGUCCAUCGACUUAUGAGCUCAGGACAUUUCAAAUUGUGAAGCAUCUUGGAAACUAAAAUCUUAUAUAUGCUUGCAGAAGCAGAACGGGCUUCAAUGACUUUUGAAGCACAGCUAUUACUAUUAAUAACCUUUUAACAGUUAAAAAGGGCGCUGAGAUCAUAGCAUCUUUUUCAAUGGUGAAUACUGUAUCUCCCCCUAUUGAAAUGAACACGGUUAGUAAAAAAAAAGAACAAAAAAAAAAACAUUUUUCAUUAUUCCCUUUUCUAAUUUGUUCAAAUCCUGUGCCGAAUUCAGUUUUCAAAAAGAAUCUCAAACAAACUCUCUCUGUGCUUUUGCAUUAUUUGGCCCUGAUUGAGGUCACAUUAAAAUAACACAUUGCUGGUAUAAUGAAUGUUUCAGAACCCACUGGGAGCAAUAGCUAAAAGUUUGCUGUAUAAAAAAGUACAGAAAUAAUUCAUUAUGUUUAGCUUUAUCUACUCAAGAGUCCAUAUCAUGCUCUACUCAAUAAAUCUGUACUUUCUAACAAUAAAUAAAACACAUUCUACCUUCAUUACGAAUUCUGUAUUAUACCACAAUCCCAGGCUUCCGUUUGAACUCGUAACCACUCUUAAAAUUCAAACGAUUGAGACCAGCACUUUCAAAACAACCCCACAGUGCAUUGUGAACACAGGAAGCAUUGAGGUCAUUUCAAACCAGAGGACCUUAUCAUGGCAUGAUAAAACAAAACAAAGUCCACAACAGGAAACUACUUAGAAAUAAUCUGCUUUGUUUUCAUUCAAAGUUUGCUUCAUGCAGAAACAAAAUUAAGGUCAUCUUACGAUGUGCAGGUAUUUCCUGUAAAACGUUAUGAGGAUAACACAGAAAUGCACAGAAAAAAAAAGAUCCACAUUUUUCGACCAUGUAAUUUGCUUGAAAUUGUAACAGAGAUUGUAGGUGACAUCCAUAACCUGUUUGUAGUCUGUUUUAAUGGAUUAAUAUAAAGUUUUGUAUAUACUGUUUAUUUAAGAAAAUGCAUGCACUAAACACUAUUUAAUUCACAAAAACAGACAUAAAGAAUAUGCAAAUAAUUCAGUUACAUGACUAUAACCCUGCUUUCCAAUCUAAAGGUUACAUCUUUAUAUAUAACCCUCAUCUCAAUACGCUCUUCGUUUUGCUUCAUGGAGAAAAGCUGGCACCCUGGGAUGCUAUUAUAAUGUGUGCCCAGUGCAUUAGAAACAUUAACCUUUCUGAAGUAAAUGUUAAGGGAUUUUACAGGAAUUGUGCAAACUUAAACCAGGUCAUGUGUAAUGAAUAGAGAGGUUUCAUCGAUGGACUGAUAAUAGUCCAUCGCUGUUUAAUAGGUUAGGUGUAUGACU